rnacentral:rRNA from 1 species
AAAAAUGCACAUGCUGUGAGCUCGAUGAGUAGGGCGGGACACGUGGUAUCCUGUCUGAAUAUGGGGGGACCAUCCUCCAAGGCUAAAUACUCCUGACUGACCGAUAGUGAACCAGUACCGUGAGGGAAAGGCGAAAAGAACCCCGGCGAGGGGAGUGAAAAAGAACCUGAAACCGUGUACGUACAAGCAGUGGGAGCACAGAGCAAUCUGUGUGACUGCGUACCUUUUGUAUAAUGGGUCAGCGACUUAUAUUCUGUAGCAAGGUUAACCGAAUAGGGGAGCCGAAGGGAAACCGAGUCUUAACUGGGCGUUAAGUUGCAGGGUAUAGACCCGAAACCCGGUGAUCUAGCCAUGGGCAGGUUGAAGGUUGGGUAACACUAACUGGAGGACCGAACCGACUAAUGUUGAAAAAUUAGCGGAUGACUUGUGGCUGGGGGUGAAAGGCCAAUCAAACCGGGAGAUAGCUGGUUCUCCCCGAAAGCUAUUUAGGUAGCGCCUCGUGAAUUCAUCUCCGGGGGUAGAGCACUGUUUCGGCAAGGGGGUCAUCCCGACUUACCAACCCGAUGCAAACUGCGAAUACCGGAGAAUGUUAUCACGGGAGACACACGGCGGGUGCUAACGUCCGUCGUGAAGAGGGAAACAACCCAGACCGCCAGCUAAGGUCCCAAAGUCAUGGUUAAGUGGGAAACGAUGUGGGAAGGCCCAGACAGCCAGGAUGUUGGCUUAGAAGCAGCCAUCAUUUAAAGAAAGCGUAAUAGCUCACUGGUCGAGUCGGCCUGCGCGGAAGAUGUAACGGGGCUAAACCAUG